UUUUGGACAAUGGACGCAAGUCUGAUCCAGCCAUGCCGCGUGCGGGAAGAAGGCCUUCGGGUUGUAAACCGCUUUUGUCAGGGAAGAAACGGACUGGGUUAAUACCUUGGUCUAAUGACGGUACCUGAAGAAUAAGCACCGGCUAACUACGUGCCAGCAGCCGCGGUAAUACGUAGGGUGCAAGCGUUAAUCGGAAUUACUGGGCGUAAAGCGUGCGCAGGCGGUUAUGCAAGACAGAUGUGAAAUCCCCGGGCUCAACCUGGGAACUGCAUUUGUGACUGCAUGGCUAGAGUACGGUAGAGGGGGAUGGAAUUCCGCGUGUAGCAGUGAAAUGCGUAGAUAUGCGGAGGAACACCGAUGGCGAAGGCAAUCCCCUGGACCUGUACUGACGCUCAUGCACGAAA
rnacentral:rRNA from 1 species